ACUCAAAUGAAUUGACGGGGGCCCGCACAAGCAGCGGAGCGUGUGGUUUAAUUCGACGCAACGCGAAGAACCUUACCCAGACUUGACAUGGAGCUGCAAGCCCGUGAAAACGGGUCGCCUUCGAGGGUGCUCCACAGGUGCUGCAUGGCUGUCGUCAGCUCGUGUCGUGAGAUGUUGGGUUAAGUCCCGCAACGAGCGCAACCCUCGGUGGUUGUUAUCUGUGUCAACCACUACAGCCGGUGCCAACACCGGAGGAAGGCGGGGAUGACGUCAAGUCCGCAUGGCCCUUACGUCUGGGGCGACACACACGCUACAAUGGCCGGGACAAUGCGUUGCCAACCUGCAAAGGUGCGCUAAUCGCCUAAACCCGGCCUCAGUUCAGAUUGGGGGCUGCAACUCGCCCCCAUGAAGGUGGAGUUGCUAGUAACCGCCGGUCAGCCAUACGGCGGUGAAUCUGUACCCGGGCCUUGUACACACCGCCCGU
rnacentral:rRNA from 1 species